rnacentral:ncRNA from 1 species
GGUCGGGAGUAUGCCUGAAUAAAAGACCUCUCGGGGAAAUAGGGCAUGCGGUAUAAGUUUCGCCGUUACUAGACUCCUGGCCUCCCAAUU